rnacentral:rRNA from 1 species
GAUGAACGCUGGCGGCGUGCCUAAUACAUGCAAGUCGAGCGAAUGGAUUAAGAGCUUGCUCUUAUGAAGUUAGCGGCGGACGGGUGAGUAACACGUGGGUAACCUGCCCAUAAGACUAGGAUAACUCCGGGAAACCGGGGCUAAUACCGGAUAACAUUUUGAACCGCAUGGUUCGAAAUUGAAAGGCGGAUUAGGCUGUCACUUAUGGAUGGACCAGCGUCGCAUUCGCUAGUUGGUGAGGUAACGGCUCACCAAGGCAACGAUGCGUAGCCGACCUGAGAGGGUGAUCGGCCACACUGGGACUGAGACACGGCCCAGACUCCUACGGGAGGCAGCAGUAGGGAAUCUUCCGCAAUGGACGAAAGUCUGACGGAGCAACGCCGCGUGAGUGAUGAAGGCUUUCGGGUCGUAAAACUCUGUUGUUAGGGAAGAACAAGUGCUAGUUGAAUAAGCUGGCACCUUGACGGUACCUAACCAGAAAGCCACGGCUAACUACGUGCCAGCCGCCGCAGUAA